CGCACAACCGUUGCCAGGAAGUGACGUCGCCUGCUGUUGCUUGGGACGUUGUUACGCUCACUGCGUCCAGCUGGAGCGACCCGCGAACCAGGAUUCUGCGGUCAACGUGGGGCUGUUGUUUAUUUAUUGGUCAAAACAGUGAAGUGCUGUGUUCAGGCGAGUGCGUGCAACUUUAACUCGAGCUGUUGUUCGUCGCAGUGCGAUUCUUCGUCAGUCAACAUUUUCCUGAGAAGCUGAGAUUUUUCUGAAAUCUACUGCUGACUGCCAUGUUCAAUCCCAGUGAACUGGAAGGGGAAGUGGAUCAUUCAUUCUUUGACAGUGACUGUGAAGAUAGCAGCACCCACAGAGAUGGAGGAAAAACGAUGGAGAAGGCAGUGAACCCUGAAAAGAACAGUCUGUCAACACAUGAGAGGUUUCACAUUAAACAGACAGAUGAGACAAAAAAACAACAUGUGCAAGUGGUAUAUAACAAAGAUGUGCACAGCCAGAGUCCAGUUGAAAGUGAAGAAGAAGCAUCACCACCUAGUCUCAAACAUCCAAUAUUAAAAAGCAAAAAUAAACACUCUCCUAAGAAACUGAGAGGAAGUGGGCACACCCGAAGUCCAUCUCCAGCUUCAAGUGGGAGCAGCGUAGAUGCAGACUCAGAAAGAUCAUGUAGCAGUAAUAACGAGAGAAGCAGUUUAGCGUCCCCCACAUUUCCCAAAUGUAACAAGUCCUCUUUAACCUCUAGAGAGACAAUGGUCAGAGUAGGCUCAGCAGGAUCCAGAGAUAUGGCUACAAGUCGUUCGGUGGAUUCAGAAGACACAGCGACAGACGUGAGCCCCCUUUCCUCCCCAGACAUCAGUCCCCUCCAGUCAGUAGACCUGAACCACAGAGAGGCUUCAGACAGAAGCCCAAAAGAACAGGAGAGGGAGAGUGUGCCCUCCAGUGGCCUAAGCAACACACAUCAUGAGGAGUCUGACCAGGAUGUAGAUGAGCUCUCUCACCGUUCAGACAGUCAGCUUGGAGGUAAACUACCAUUCCACUGUCCUGGAAGGAGAAACAGGAAGAACUACUCGUUCAGCAAUGAUGAAGUGUGCCGCAUAGAUCGGGAGAACCAGCGCCUUCUUCGAGAGCUUUCGCGACUUUCUCCAGGGCCCAGACCAGGAAGUGUUGCUAGAAAGAAAGCAAAUAUGGCCAACACCUCACCUUCUAUUCGCAUUUCUCACAGCGCACUGAACAGACAGCGAGAACAGCAACGCAUCGAGAGAGAGAACCUGGCUUUCCUGAAGCGUCUGGAGUCUGUCAAGCCUACGCCUGGGCUAAGGCGCUCAGAACAACUGGCAAACUACCAGCGUCAAGUAGGAUACCUGGGAGCUCCUUCAUACCCCAUCUAUCGAUCCACUUCAAAGAAAGAAAGACCGGCCAGCAGGAUAUCCUCAGCAGGUCCCAGGCCGACCAGUUCUACCCACCUCAGCUCCAGAGCAGUUUCAGUCAGCGCCGACUCCAGCAUCACACCUGCAUCUAGAUCGGAAAAACUGAACGCGGCCUGAUCCGACAAAACGUCAAGUAGUCUAGGAAGCCCCCACCGCCGGGGUCAGAGGUCAGCCUCAGCUGCAGGGCUGCAACCUUAGGCACUCAGCAUCCUGUUGGUGUGGUGGCCUUCAGUACGGCAGGUGCAUGCAGACGGGAGCUUGCAGCUGCUGUUUGCCAAGCAGGAGUUCUCCUGAGCAGCCAGAGAGACUGAGCUGCCCACGACUCAGGGGGAAGGAGAUUAUUUAAGUGUUUCCCUUCUUCUUGCUGCCGUUAUUGGCUGUUGGCCUGUUUUUAUUAAAGUUAAGAGGCCACUGGAGACUAGAAGAGUCAAAGGCAUGCGUGGGUUAAGAGAACGCAUAGACAGCAUCUUACAGCCGAUGAUACUCACCCGCAGUCAGGCCAGUGCCUACGGUAAACCAGCUAAGGUGGAGAAAUCCCCAUGACCAAUCCUGAGGACCUAGAGACACACAGUCUGCGGGGGAUGAGGCGAUGGACGUGGCAGGAGAAGACGAAGGAUGAGAGACAGCUGGAAUAAAGGGAGUCCAAUGAGAAACAAGGCUGGAAAAUGUUAGGAGUGGGGAACCUGAGGGCUGGAGUUAGAAAACUGGAAUCUCACUCACCUAAUGGUUGCCAUGCAGAAAUGACUUAUGGGAGCUUGUCAGAAAUAUCCCAACUUACAGCAGCUACAGGCACAGGCAGCACAGCUCUGUUCAAAUACGACAGAAAAGACACUUCCAAGGUCUGAAUAUGAUCUAUUCAUGUAUUUACUCAAGCGUCCUUACUGUAAAGGCCUGUGUUUGUCCAGGGUCACUCAGUGUCAGUGAACAAAAGCAGAACAUCACAGAUCACACUCCUGUAAUUGGAUGAAUUAGACAAAGUAAACUUUGCUCCCAGUCCAUU